UACGUAGGUCCCGAGCGUUGUCCGGAUUUAUUGGGCGUAAAGCGAGCGCAGGUGGUUUAUUAAGUCUGGUGUAAAAGGCAGUGGCUCAACCAUUGUAUGCAUUGGAAACUGGUAGACUUGAGUGCAGGAGAGGAGAGUGGAAUUCCAUGUGUAGCGGUGAAAUGCGUAGAUAUAUGGAGGAACACCGGUGGCGAAAGCGGCUCUCUGGCCUGUAACUGACACUGAGACUCGAAAGCGUGGGGAGCAAACAGG
rnacentral:rRNA from 1 species